UAGGGAAUCUUCGGCAAUGGACGAAAGUCUGACCGAGCAACGCCGCGUGAGUGAAGAAGGUUUUCGGAUCGUAAAACUCUGUUGUUAGAGAAGAACAAGGACGUUAGUAACUGAACGUCCCCUGACGGUAUCUAACCAGAAAGCCACGGCUAACUACGUGCCAGCAGCCGCGGUAAUACGUAGGUGGCAAGCGUUGUCCGGAUUUAUUGGGCGUAAAGCGAGCGCAGGCGGUUUCUUAAGUCUGAUGUGAAAGCCCCCGGCUCAACCGGGGAGGGUCAUUGGAAACUGGGAGACUUGCGUGCAGAAGAGGAGAGUGGAAUUCCAUGUGUAGCGGUGAAAUGCGUAGAUAUAUGGAGGAACACCAGUGGCGAGGGCGGCUCUCUGGUCUGUAACUGACGCUGAGGCUCGAAAGCGUGGGGAGCAAACAGG
rnacentral:rRNA from 1 species